UAUUUUGGAAAGUGAGUGAGACAUAGUGUGAUAAAGAAAAAAUAUUUCUUUAUCGUUGUACCCCAACUUGCAUUGCCUGUAGAAAUUGUAGAUCCAAUUUCUCUAUGUUGGGGCCCCGCCAACCUGCACAUUAUCGUAAGCUGACUUUUCGUCAGCUUCUGUGUUGGGGCCCCGCCAACCUGCAUUGCCUGUAGAAUUUCUUUUUUGAAAUUCUCUAUGUUGGGGCCCCGGACUAUAAUUGAAAAAUGCUUGUUACAAGUGCAUUUUAUUUCAGUCAACUACUAACAAUAUAACAUUGUGGAGCCCAGAACUUUGAUUAAU
rnacentral:ncRNA from 1 species